AUGGCUGCUACCGCUGAAACUGUCCCAGAAACAGUAGCUGCUCCUGAAAAGGAAACAGAACAGAAAGAAGAAGUCUCCAAGUCAGACGUGAAAGAAGUUAAGGAUGAAGAACCGAAGGAAGUUGCUGAAGAAAAAAAUGGUCACAAUGAAUCUGACGAAGGAAAAAAGAAUGGCGUCUCUAAAGCCGAAGAAGAAAAAACGAAUGGCAUCACAAAGAAUGACGAAGACAAAGGGAAUCACAUCGAGAAAACAAAUGGAACUACCGAAGAAAAUGAAUCAGAGGAAGUUUCAGAUGCCUGUCCAGUAAAGAGGAAAUCAGAAGCUGCAGACAUCCCAGACUCCAAAGUCUCAGAAGAGGAUGCUGUCAGUUGUGAGAAGAAAGCUAAAAUCGAGGAAAAAUUAGCUGCUGCAAAGGGUGAAGAAGUACUUAAUUCUGAAGAAGCCGAAGCAACCGCUUAGAUCUCUUCCUUUUUGAAUCUCCUUUUUCAUUAUCUGUGAAGUCGUAAAUCUCAUCUACCAAGCCAACAAAUGUGUCUGUCAUCAUAUCUGUCAAACUUAAACUAGUAUUUAACCUUUUUCUCUUUCUUAUAUUUUGUAUGUACUAUUCAAGUGUGGUAUUUAUUGAGGAUGAUCGUACUUAUACCCAUAUUCAUCUAAUCCUGUGAAAAUAGUCCAUGAAAGAUGGAAGGCUCAGUAGGCCCCUCAUGCCAGUCUGACAAGAGGUCCGAGUAGUAGAUUCCUGUCCUAAGAGCUGUCUAUUUCUAAUUCCCUCUUGUCCCUCAUGACUCAGUAUUUUUCACUUAUUCAACUUUUCUCUUAGCUCUUCAAUAUCUCCAAUUUUUUGUAACUACUAUUCCUCAAUUUUUACAUUACCCACGAUUGUUCCUCUGCUAUAAUUAAGAUGUAUUUUGUCAGCAUUAUUCCACUUUUUUUAUCACCCCUGAUGCCUCACUAUUGAGCUGAAAAAAUUGUGAGUCACAAGCCACUUCACCAUCUCAGUCUCUCAGUUGAAGUCUGCCGGAUCUCAAAGCCCAGUUUUAAUAACAGAGACUUCUGGAAUUGGUUUGUCAUAACAAUUACAUGUGGCAGUUGAUACCUCGCUGUGAAUAUGCUGUUAAAAACAGGAAGUUGAAAUCUGACAAACGGCAACACAUUGGUACUUGAUCAUCAGGUUCCUAAGAUUUUCUGCUCAGUUUUUUGAGCACUAAAUAAUUUUUAUUCCUAGACGAUUUUAAUUUUAGUUUUUGUAUGACGACUUAGACGUUCAAGAAAUAAUUUAAGCUGCAUUUUCAGUAUUAAUAAGGUAAUUGAACUGUUGGAUCCUUUGCCCCUCAGCUCUAAAAUGAGCAUUGUUCUUACCUCUUGCAGAAUCUUUCGUAUGUAGCUCACAUGUCCUUUUUCGGUCCCGGUAUUUUUUAUUUUCUUUUGUCUCACAAUUAUUGUAUUCGUUUCCUAUUCUUCCAAAAGAAAUUAAAGAGAAAAUUACGAAUAGUUAUGGGGAUAUCGUUAAAAAUAUUUUUAAUUUUGGUGAAG
rnacentral:lncRNA from 1 species